AGCGAACGCUGGCGGCAGGCCUAACACAUGCAAGUCGAACGAACUCUUCGGAGUUAGUGGCGGACGGGUGAGUAACACGUGGGAACGUGCCUUUAGGUUCGGAAUAACUCAGGGAAACUUGUGCUAAUACCGAAUGUGCCCUUCGGGGGAAAGAUUUAUCGCCUUUAGAGCGGCCCGCGUCUGAUUAGCUAGUUGGUGAGGUAAAGGCUCACCAAGGCGACGAUCAGUAGCUGGUCUGAGAGGAUGAUCAGCCACAUUGGGACUGAGACACGGCCCCAACUCCUGCGGGAGGCAGCAGUGGGGAAUCUUGCGCAAUGGGCGAAAGCCUGACGCAGCCCUGCCGCGUGAAUGAUGAAGGUCUUAGGAUUGUAAAAUUCUUUCACCGGGGACGAUAAUGACGGUACCCGGAGAAGAAGCCCCGGCUAACUUCGU
rnacentral:rRNA from 1 species